rnacentral:rRNA from 1 species
UACGGAGGGAGCUAGCGUUGCUCGGAAUCACUGGGCGUAAAGGGUGCGUAGGCGGGUCUUUUAAGUCAGGGGUGAAAUCCUGGAGCUCAACUCCAGAACUGCCUUUGAUACUGAAGAUCUUGAGUUCGGGAGAGGUGAGUGGAACUGCGAGUGUAGAGGUGAAAAUUCGUAGAUAUUCGCAAGAACGCCAGUGGCGAAGGCGGCUCACUGGCCCGAUACUGACGCUGAGGCACGAAAGCGUGGGGGAGCAAACA